GUCUGUUACUGCUCAUCAACCACCUUUGCCAUUUAAAUUCCUCGCUCCGAGCUGUCCAAGAAUUGUGGAUGUGGAGACCUUGGUCUGAGGAGCAUGCAAAGCAGGGUGAAGGAAGCAGCACUAAGCAUAAAUGACAGGGCUGUACUUAUCCAUUGACACUCUGACAAUCGGACGAGGCUACGGCAUCAGCUGGGGAAUUACUACUGGCUUUCCCUCGUACUUAUGAUGUCUAUUGCUACUGUUAUCCUGAGUUCAGUUGUCAGCCUAAUUAUUUCAAAAAAUGCCUUUUGCACUUGGACAGUGACAGUAACUGGAAGUGUAAUAAUUGGAAUAAUUUCAAAUUUCUACGAAACAGUGACUAUAAUGCAAGUUGGAGGAAUGACUGCAUUUGCAACCCUGUUACUGUUUUUAUUUGCUCUGAAGACAAAUAAACCCCUGACAAACAUGGCCAUAUCAACCACUACAAGCACCCUGGGCACUGCUGGGGCAAUCGUUUGUGUCCUUAGAAAUUCAUACGUGUUCCAGGCUAUAUACGCUCUAUUUGGAAUGCUGCUCUUUGCUACUGAUCUGACGAGGACAGUAGCUGAGCUCGAAAGUCAACGGACAACCAACAAAAAAGUCAAAAAGUCAAAGCUUGAAAGUCAACCAACAAAAAUGCAACGCUCCAUGGACUAUGCUGAGGCAGCACAAAGACUUGUCAUAUCUAUUGCUAUGAUCUUCUUCUUCACUUUGCUAUUAGUUGGUUGAACGCACAACAAAGCCGAGUAUUUUGGCAAACUUCAGUUUCAGCGCAAGUCCUGUGUUACCCAAAGGAAGGUGCGUGACAGCUCAUUCAGGUGUUCUGGCGAGGUGAUUACGGGAUGGAUUUCCAUAUAAUAAACUUCCUAUAGAUGAAAAAGUAUCUUAAUGU
rnacentral:lncRNA from 1 species